UGGCACGAGGAGACGUCGAAGACGUCGCUGCGUCGGCGGCGACUGAUGGUGCGGUGGAGGAGGGAAGGUCUAGCGCCGGCGGUGGAGGGAGGCCGCCUCGUGCGGCGGCAGGUACCGUAGGGGGUGCGGGAUGAGGAGAGCGGGUGGGCCGUGGGAAGGAGGAGGUUCUUUCGUUUCGACGUGGGAGAGGGGAGCCUAGGUACCGCGACGAGUCGUGGCCGCCGGCGCCCGAGAGAGGGUAGCCGCGUGGGCGAUCGGAGCCGACCCGGGGCCUGCUCGUCGGCGCGCCUACUGCUGGUAGUGGCUGUGGGAGGUCUACUACAGCCUCCGCCGAGGGCCACCUGACCUCGCGUGUCUCACCAGCCUCCAGCAGCGCGAGCCGCUACACCACAGGUCCGUCCGGUGGCAGCGACCCUACCAGACCUCGCCUCUGAACGGACCACACCUUUGCGAGUUCCUCUUGUAACGACGCAUAAAGUUGCAGGACGUCCCAAAGGAAAACCGGACGGUACCUUCGUGCCAGCCACGGCCAGGAUGCGAAGUGUUCAUAUAGUGAUCAAGACGUUUUCCGCACCACCUACGGUCGAAGAGCAACAAGUUCGAACGACAAAGAUGGAUACGCUUCACGCCGACCUGCUGGCUCCGACGAUAAGACGGAACUACACGUGUGUUUCUCAAGGACCUGGACUGAACUUCGUUCCUAUGGACGCCGACGUUCGGUUGUUAUAGACUUCUGUCCCACUGUCUCCUUCGGUACAACGGCAAAAAAACCAAGGGUCGGAACUGAUACCGACAGGUCGCUCAGGCCGUACAGCAGUAAAAGAACAUUUCGUCAUAACAUAGUGUGAACAUCUCGAGUAAUGUGUACAUCUAGAACAUUUCAUGACAUAAUGUGUACCAGUAUACAUAACCGUUGCACUAGGCCAACGAGAAUAAACUUCAUAGUACACACGAAAACAGACGG
rnacentral:rRNA from 1 species